AGCUGCAGCGUAACAGGUCAUGCAGCUUUUAUCUUAGUCUCAGGGUCGGAGGCCUAUCUCAUCAAAGAAACAUGGUGUCUUUCAGUGUUCCCUAGGGGACACUCAAUCUGGAUCUAUUGACCCCUUUUCAGUUGGUAAACAUUGUGACGUAUUUGUGUGGGCGGGGCAUAGCUGGAGGCAGAAAGAUUCCCCUGAAUACUUCAACAACGGUAGCUAGCAAAUGUUGUUAGCUUUUUUUUUUUUUCAACAAUGGAUGGAGAAAAUCCGAUUUUAUCUGAAUGUGUAAGGUCACUCACUGUCCGGGACCGCGAUAAUUAUUUUAAAAAGUUAACUUUAACGGACGGAACCAGAUUGGUCGACCCCUACACACUCACUCUGGAUGGACGAACUGACAGGAUUACCUCCGGUAGAGUGGCCUGACAUCUACACCUACCUGAUAGAGAAACCGAGCGUGUAUAGUAAAGACAAACUGAGGGCGUAUAAAUCCUUAGAUGCCUAUAACUACGUACUGAAUGGUCACGUACAAGACUUCAAAUACAAAGAUUUAACAGAUGAGUUUUGUGUCGUACGAUCCGAAGUUCUGCCUAGCCAGCGCCAAGGCCAGAAGACGACCAUGUACCAGGCUUGGGUCAUUGUAAACAGAAGAAACAACUACGUCUUGACCGCGAACUGCACUUGCAUGGCUGGAACUCACAGAUGAAGACAUCCAGGAACUGUAUUCGAUUGCCCCUGACGCUGCUGUUCUUACCAGCAUAGAAAACAGUGACACUGACACAGCGUCUGAGUCUGAGCUAGAGCAUCCUCCAGAGUUGCCAGAGCCGCUCACAGCCUUGUACGACCCUACGCUCAGACAGCACACACAUGGGGACAUCAGAGAGAAAUGUGAGGAAGCCUAUCUCAACAUGAGAAGGAACAUCCACCCAGAUCAGUGUGAGACUUGAGACUAUCACAAAACUGCAGGCAAAGUCCCAAGACUGGCUCACUCAUAGGGCAGGCAGGAUUACCAGCACAACAUUUUAUACUGUAUGUAAAGGUGACCAUCUGCACAAAACCACCCUGGACAAAAUCAUGCGCUACAAUGACACCAACAUACAGGUUCCAGCAGCUGUAUGGGGAAGAGACAAAGAGGAAAUUGCUAGGGAGCGUUACACCAAAGAGCUCAACAAAACCCAUCAAAAUGUAACGGUUAGUCCAUGUGGUUUUGUGAUUCGACCUGAUGAACCGCACCUAGGCGCAUCUCCAGAUGGGAAAGUUGUGUGUUCCUGCUGUGGGGAAGGGGUCUUGGAAAUCAAAUGCCCAUAUAAAUACAGGGAAGGCCUACAGGGUGUGACAGUCACUAAGGAUUUCUGCCUUGACAAAACAUUCCAACUAAAGAAGACACACCAGUACUACCACCAGGUUCAACUGCACAUGUUUGCCUGCAAUGUCCAGUACUGUGAUUUUGUGGUGUGGACAACUCAGGAGCUGGUUGUAAAUCGCAUCUCAAGAGAUGAAGAGCUCUUGCAGAAGGAUUUACCUAAAGCGAAGCAAUGUUUUGUAUCUUUCAUUCUGCCAGAACUUCUAACCCGCAGCCAAGAUCCUGCCCUUCAACCACCAGUGUUUUGUAACACCUGUGAAAAGCCAGAGUUUGGUAAAAUGAUUGAGUGUAGCAUGUGCAAAAACUUCUUUCAUUAUAGUUGUGCACAAGUUAAGAGGAGGCUACAGAACUGGCACUGCAGUUGCUGCAGAGAAAUACACCUGACUCACCUGUGUCUAUCUUCACGGUUAGCCAUGAAGAGAUAUAUGCUUCUAUUUCAGCAGGGAAUAAGUACUAUUUUACAGCUACAUGUUAGUGAACUGGGCUACAAUACAAAAAUAGUUAAACCUUCAAUGUGGUGGAUAAGGUAUUGGGUAUGGAAAUGUAUGUAUGUAAUGGCAUAAGAGAUAUUUUAAAGUAUGAUUCCUGUAAAUUAAGAAUGAGAUAACAGUACAAUGUAGUAUUAAGAUGUAAAUAUUUUUUAGAAAUAAAUUCUGAACACUGCAAAUUAA